AUUGAACGCUGGCGGCAGGCCUAACACAUGCAAGUCGAAUGGUAACAGGAAGCAGCUUGCUGUUUCGCUGACGAGUGGCGGACGGGUGAGUAAUGUCUGGGAAACUGCCUGAUGGAGGGGGAUAACUACUGGAAACGGUAGCUAAUACCGCAUAACGUCGCAAGACCAAAGAGGGGGACCUUCGGGCCUCUGGCCAUCAGAUGUGCCCAGAUGGGAUUAGUUAGUAGGUGGGGUAACGGCUCACCUGGGCGACGAUCCCUAGCUGGUCUGAGAGGAUGACCAGCCACACUGGAACUGAGACACGGUCCAGACUCCUACGGGAGGCAGCAGUGGGGAAUAUUGCACAAUGGGCGCAAGCCUGAUGCAGCCAUGCCGCGUGUAUGAAGAAGGCCUUCGGGUUGUAAAGUACUUUCAGCGGGGAGGAAGGGAGUAAAGUUAAUACCUUUGCUCAUUGACGUUACCCGCAGAAGAAGCACCGGCUAACUCCGUG
rnacentral:rRNA from 1 species